UACGAAGGGGGCUAGCGUUGUUCGGAAUCACUGGGCGUAAAGCGCACGUAGGCGGAUCUUUAAGUCAGGGGUGAAAUCCCGGGGCUCAACCUCGGAACUGCCUUUGAUACUGGAGAUCUUGAGUCCGGGAGAGGUGAGUGGAACUGCGAGUGUAGAGGUGAAAUUCGUAGAUAUUCGCAAGAACACCAGUGGCGAAGGCGGCUCACUGGCCCGGAACUGACGCUGAGGUGCGAAAGCGUGGGGAGCAAACAGG
rnacentral:rRNA from 1 species